GUUUUUUAUUAUUGCACAACCCCCUUCCAAAAUAUAUAUAUAUAUAUAUAAAUUAUGUACGUAGUCGGGAUUUCUUUGUUUGCCACUAAAAGCUGUGUAGCAUGAACUUGGUUGAAGAUGAGCCUUGCUUACAUCAAAGGUUGUAGAACUGCAGAUAAGUUUUGCCUAUGUUUUCUAUUUGUUUCCGAAUAUCAUUCAUGUUGAUGAAUUUAGAAAUCAAUCUUUAUUUGCAGGAGAAAGAGAAAAGGAGAAUCUGUUAAAAUACUAGCGCCAAGGAACUUGACUUGGGUAUCGACGAGGAGAAAGAGAAAAGGUGAACCUGUCAAAAUACUAGCACCAAGGUGUGGGAAGGCGUCAGAGAACUCCUCACUGUUUAAUCUUGACAAUAGUACUUUUUUAAACGGAGCACCAGAAGAAGGGGUGGACUAAUAAGGAUACAAAGUGAAUGACAAUAUUCACCUUUGAUUACUACCACUCAGCUUCUAACGAACUUGACUUGGACAACGACAAGGUAAGAUUUAUGUAAUAGAUUUCUUUCCUAGAAACAAUGUUAUCUUCUUUAUACAUGUUCUCCAAAUAUGUAGUUUUUUAUUAUUCCACAACCCCCUUCCAAAAAAAUACAUAUAUAUAUAUAUAUUAUGCAUAAUCGGGAUUUCUUUGUUUGCAACUAAAACGUGUGCAGCAUGAACUUGGUUGAA